UCAUGAAAGUAGUUUGGCCCUUCUACAGAAUCAAUUCAAUUUGCUAGCAUCAAUUUAUUUCAAAACAAAUAGAGUAGAAAUGUUGUAUGAAUAUAGAAUUACUAUUAAUAUAGAAUCAGUGGUAAUUAUUUACAAGGUUGAAAUUUUCUCACUUGAAGCCACCUUCAAGAGAUAUGACGAUGUGUGAAGCGUUGUCUGAAGGCUGAUGAGGCUGGAGAACUGGAGGAUGAUGAGGAAGGGAAUGCAGACACAGGGGAAAGAGGCAAGCUGAGGCUGAAGAGGCAUUUCGAAGGAGACAAAGGCUGUAGUGCUAAAGAUGCAAGUAAGUACUGGAGCGAUGAGUUGGAGUACUCACACAUUCAGGCACAGUCUUUAUUAUGAGUGAUUCAUUCAAUCAUUUCAUCAAUAUGAAAAUUGGAUUUUUAUGAGAACCUUUUUUUUUAAUUUUGUAGAUACAGUGGAAAAUUAUGAUUUAUAAUUAAUUUGGAAAAUACUAAUGUCAAAAAUAUAUCUAGGGUGAAGUGGGGUUUGAUUAUAAAAUGUAAAACGGGAUGAUUUAAUUAUGAUGAUGAUGAU